rnacentral:rRNA from 1 species
AGAGACAGCAGUAGCCGCGGUAAUACGUAGGUGGCAAGCGUUGUCCGGAAUUAUUGGGCAUAAAGGGCUCGCAGGCGGUUUCUUAAGUCUGAUGUGAAAGCCCCCGGCUCAACCGGGGAGGGUCAUUGGAAACUGGGAAACUUGAGUGCAGAAGAGGAGAGUGGAAUUCCACGUGUAGCGGUGAAAUGCGUAGAGAUGUGGAGGAACACCAGUGGCGAAGGCGACUCUCUGGUCUGUAACUGACGCUGAGGAGCGAAAGCGUGGGGAGCGAACAGGAUUAGAUACCCCAGUAGUCCCUGUCUCUUAUAC